GUUUUCCUGCUCGGUGCGUGACGGGCCUUAUUUAAACCCACAUCUCUUAAACGGGAUGUCGCCCUCACAGCGUGGUUUGCAGGCCUCCCGGCCCUUCAGGGUCGGAAGUUGGAAGCAAUGAAACACUGUGGAGACAACCCACCUGCCUUCAUUGUGCAGGUUUUAAACGGGUUCGCACGGCCAGAGCGGGGCUCUC
rnacentral:other from 1 species